rnacentral:rRNA from 1 species
AGUCGAACGGACUUAACUCAUUCUUUUAGAUUGAGAGCGGUUAGUGGCGGACUGGUGAGUAACACGUAAGCAACCUGCCUAUCAGAGGGGAAUAACAGUGAGAAAUCAUUGCUAAUACCGCAUAAGCUAGUAGUAUCGCAUGAUAUAGCUAGAAAAGGAGCAAUCCGCUGAUAGAUGGGCUUGCGUCUGAUUAGCUAGUUGGUGGGGUAACGGCCUACCAAGGCGACGAUCAGUAGCCGGACUGAGAGGUUGAACGGCCACAUUGGGACUGAGAUACGGCCCAGACUCCUACGGGAGGCAGCAGUCGGGAAUAUUGCGCAAUGGAGGAAACUCUGACGCAGUGACGCCGCGUAUAGGAAGAAGGUUUUCGGAUUGUAAACUAUUGUCGUGAGGGAAGAAAUUGACAGUACCUCAGGAGGAAGCUCCGGCUAACUAUGUGCCAGCAGCCGCGGUAAUACAUAGGGAGCAAGCGUUAUCCGGAUUUAUUGGGUGUAAAGGGUGCGUAGACGGGAUAACAAGUUGGUUGUGAAACCCCUCGGCUCAACUGAGGAACUGCAACCAAAACUAUUAUUCUUGAGUGCAGGAGAGGAAAGUGGAAUUCCUAGUGUAGCGGUGAAAUGCGUAGAUAUUAGGAAGAACACCGGUGGCGAAGGCGACUUUCUGGACUGUAACUGACGUUGAGGCACGAAAGUGUGGGGAGCAAACAGGAUUAGAUACCCUGGUAGUCCACACUGUAAACGAUGGAUACUAGGUGUAGGGGGUAUUAAGC